AACGUAAACCCGCUUAUCAGUCCGCCUCCGUGCUCUAAACGUGCGCAUUAUCACAAAGUAUAGAAAAUAUUGCAAUAAAGUUUUACGUCGAAUUAUCAUUGGCUAAGAAUUCGCAGGUUAUUUUUUUCAAAAUUGUUAUCGAUACAGAAUAACUAUUUUUUAUUGUAUGCGAAAUGUCACAGAGUUUGUUACGUUUGCCUAUAUUUUUCAUUCACUGUAUUAUAUUUCGAGUGCAUAUAACGUUUUAUUUCGACUUACAAUUAUAGUUAUGCCACAAUUGUAUAUUAGGUACGAAUUUAUUUGUUCGAAGGUGAUGUGUAACAACGAAGCAUGGAGAAUCAGUUGAGCUACCAAGAUGGUAUCCAGUGCACCAACGAUGUUUUUGGCUAGAUUUAGAAGUGGAGUAUCUCCAAUUGACCGCAGAGAUGCAUACAAAUACCGAAGAGAAAAACAUCGCUGCCAACAUUCCCUGUAGCUGUGCUGAUCAACUGAACAGUCUGAAGAAUAUACAUGCCAUAACAAACGAUCGACACAUUGGACGGACAAGUCAUUUCGUGCGGCAAUUGUAUCUGUUUCUCGGAUUUUGUGGCAUUCUGUAAAGAAGGCGACAUCACAACAGAUAAAAAAGAUUCGGCUAUCAACGGAAGGAUAACAAUGUAUGAGGAACCCAUCUGAAAGAAGUAAACGCGUCUGCUCAAAUUAUCACGAUGCAGUCGUAUCAGCGUUAUCUUUAUGAUAGUCAAAAUGCCGCAUGUCGCCAGUACGAAGUGGUCGACGAUGACACUCAGCAUGACAUCUUUGUCGUAACCAAUAUUUAUUAUUAAAUAGAUCACCAUAAUAGUCUACCAACAAAUAUGUAAAAUUUAUUUAUUAUAUUUUUUAUCACAGACAAUAAUUCAGACGCAACGCUUACAAAAUAUCGUUAAUCUUGUUUAAAAACAAGUUAUAAAACUUUUAGCAAAUAAAUUGAUCGAUGAUAA